rnacentral:lncRNA from 1 species
GCCAGUCUCUCCUGCUUGCAAUUCUGCUGCUGCUGCUGGAGGAUCCUGCAUGUGGAGGAGUAGCCACUACUCCCUUACUAUUUUUUCCAUACCAUCAGCAGAAAUCUUGUACUUUUCAGCUCUUGCCUGACCUUUUGUUCUUUGUUUAUGCUUUUUUUUUUUAACCUUCCUCCCAGCUACAUUCAUUUCCUUAGUGGUCAAUGAACGUUGCCAGCCCCCUCUGACUCCUUCCUUGUUUUUGCUGUCCUGACCAUGUUGAAUUUUACUCUGAGGGAAGAGAAUGUUUUCCUUGGGAAGACUUCUACUGUCUCUACAGGACUGAGAAGCCUUGAACUGAUCCCAAGAAGAGGGAAGUGCUAACCUUUGAAGAACAAGAAUGUGUGGUGGAGUCAGAUUGAUAGGUGUUUUGGCUGUGGAACAAGUUUGGGACUGAUGGUUCGUUGGCAUGAGGCAGAGUCUACCAGCGGCCCCAGAGAGCCAGACGAAUAGGUCUGCAAAUUUCAGAUGCCAAAUUGCAGUUAACUAUGCUUCAGCUGAACAAAUUGCUAUUCUAAUCCCUCUACUAGCGUGAGCUGAAGUACUUUACUUUGGUUCCCAAAAACAAUUUGAACAUCUCUGUCAGAACAAAAACUUCAAUACCACAUAAAAAGGCUGACUGAAGAAGAACCUAUCAGAA